GAAAAAAAUAGAAGAAAAUAGAAAAAAUGUUUGGUCUUGUUUAUUCAAAAUUGGAUCAAUCCUUAAAUUGACCCCAAUUAAUUAACCCAAAAUAUGUUCAACCCAGGCUCAAUCUCGCUACACAGAAAUCCAUUACCCUUUACCCUACCCCCUACAUAUAAAAAGACAUUUUAGAAACCACAGAAAAGAGAGGCUAGCCCCUACACACUAACAAAACGACGGACCUCUCUCUCUCCCUGGUUGAGAGCAGCGUUACACCAUCUCUGAAAACCUUAACAACCAGCGGCUUUACUCAUUCCCUCUCUUUCUUCUUUCCCACUUCCCAUUCAACACCAACGAACUAACCUAUUUUCCUAAGGCUGGAAUGACAGCCAUUUUUGUUAAAAAGAAACACACUGGAACACACAAAACAAUUUCAAUAGUUAAGAAAAUAACUUGAAACUCUAGAAUCUGAGGUUCGAAAAACCAAAACAAAAAAAAGAGUAAAAUUUCAGAUCUGGGUAUGGUUUGGUUUAGCUGGUUUUCCUUGCAAUUAGCUGCUUGAAGGUGGAAUUUGCUCGGGUGUUUCUGCUGAUUUUCGCGGAUGCUGUCAUCUGGGUUUUGAUUUGAACUUUUGGGCUCGAAUCUAUGUUUAAAAGCUGUUAUUCCUGUUGUCGCUAAUGGGCUCCAAGGUUUUUGUUGAAUACACUGUCCGAGACUUAUUCACUACUUAUUUUGCUCAAUUUAGUUGAUGUAAUUGCUGAGGUUCAUUAAUUAAAAGACUAUCUCAGUCACGCUACACUUCUGUACUUGAUUGUACAAGAUUUGAGGCAGGUGUAUCUGGCCAUCAGUCCGGCACGUAGACUUGACUCCCCAGCUUGAGACUUCCCGGUGAGCUGCCCUUUUUGAGCCGUUCUGCAGUAUUUGGAGUCUCUCUUAUGUGUUUAUUUUCCUGUCUAUUCCUUUCCAGACAGUAUAUGAUUUUGUAUAUUCUAUUAGAUUGCCCACAAAUUUGUGACACCAGGUCUUGGCACACACACUAGUGGACUUAUGAUUUUUAGUUUACUUACAUGAUUACGAUUCAUAUU